rnacentral:tRNA from 1 species
GGGGGUAUAGUUCAGUGGUAGAGCAUCUGACUGCAGAUCGGAAUGUCCCCGGAUCAAACCCGUUUAAUACAU